rnacentral:rRNA from 1 species
UACGUAGGGUGCAAGCGUUAAUCGGAAUUACUGGGCGUAAAGCGUGCGCAGGCGCUUGUGCAAGGCCGAUGUGAAAUCCCCGGGCUUAACCUGGGAAUGGCAUUGGUGACUGCACGGCUAGAGUGUGUCAGAGGGGGGUAGAAUUCCACGUGUAGCAGUGAAAUGCGUAGAGAUGUGGAGGAAUACCGAUGGCGAAGGCAGCCCCCUGGGAUAACACUGACGCUCAUGCACGAAAGCGUGGGGAGCAAACAGG